rnacentral:rRNA from 1 species
GAUGAACGCUAGCUACAGGCUUAACACAUGCAAGUCGAGGGGAAACGAUAGGGAAAGCUUGCUUUUUCUAGGCGUCGACCGGCGCACGGGUGAGUAACGCGUAUCCAACCUGCCCAUCACUUGGGGAUAACCUUGCGAAAGUAAGACUAAUACCCAAUGACGUCUCUAGAAGACAUCUGAAGGAGAUUAAAAAUUUAUCGGUGAUGGAUGGGGAUGCGUGUGGUUAGCUUGUUGGCGGGGUAACGGCCCACCAAGGCGACGAUCAGUAGGGGUUCUGAGAGGAAGGUCCCCCACAUUGGAACUGAGACACGGUCCAAACUCCUACGGGAGGCAGCAGUGAGGAAUAUUGGUCAAUGGACGAGAGUCUGAACCAGCCAAGUAGCGUGCAGGAAGACGGCCCUAUGGGUUGUAAACUGCUUUUAUAAGGGAAUAAAGUGAGUCUCGUGAGACUUUUUGCAUGUACCUUAUGAAUAAGGACCGGCUAAUUCCGUGCCAGCCGCCGCGGUAA